rnacentral:lncRNA from 1 species
UGUUACAAGAUGUUCAUAAACAACCAGCAUCUAAACAAAACACCACAGCUAAACCGGACCUCCCUAACUUGGAACCUCUCCUACUAGACCUCAGGAAACAGGAAUCGCAGAUCAACAUAGAGAUCAAAAGACAGAACAAGGAUAACAGAACGUCCUUCAACACCCUACCCAAAGAGCUAAGUAAACAGGAACGAACUUCAAGCAGCAACAUCCGAAGCCUUCUCACAUGUUGGUCAUCAACCUCGAGAAACAAAUAACAGACACUAGAACAACCUAGCUUCCUAGAACUCUUUGAUCCUCUCCAUCAACCUGGCCAAAUCUUCCUGGAGCUCCACCGCUGAUAUCUGCAGCUUCUGCCAUUGUUUCACAUAGCCCACGACCUGAAAAGAAGUGUUUAGUAUUAGAAACAAGAAUAUUGUUAAACACCCAAUUAUUUCUAUUCUUCCACAGAGCCCAACACACACUAGCAACUAUAACAUGGCCCGAAGAUUGCAUAGAGGAAUUUGACCCAAUCGCACAUUUUAAGUCUUGAAAAGACGCCGGGAUACCCUCCCAGUUCAGGGCCUCCC